CUUAUACUCCCUCCGUUCGGAAUUACUUAUAGUAGAAAUGAAUGUAUGAAGAUGUAUUUUAGUUCUAGAUAUAUCCAUUUCGAAGACAAGUAAUUCGGAACGGAGGGAGUACAUU
rnacentral:pre_miRNA from 1 species